UACGUAGGGGGCAAGCGUUGUCCGGAUUUAUUGGGCGUAGAGAGCGUGUAGGCGGCUAGGUAGGUCCGUUGUGAAAACUCGAGGCUCAACCUCGAGACGUCGAUGGAAACCAUCUAGCUAGAGUCCGGAAGAGGCGAGUGGAAUUCCUGGUGUAGCGGUGGAAUGCGCAGAUAUCAGGAGGAACACCAAUAGCGAAGGCAGCUCGCUGGGACGGUACUGACGCUAAGGCGCGAAAGCGUGGGGAGCGAACAGG
rnacentral:rRNA from 1 species